UACCAGCUCUCCGAGUGGUAGGGAUGAUUAUUGGGCUUAAAGCGUCCGUAGCCGGCUUAGCAAGUCUCCUGUUAGAUUCAGCGACCUAAUCGUUAAGCCGCGGGAGAUACUACUAGGCUAGGAGGCGGGAGAGGUCGACGGUACUUGCGGGGUAGGGGUGAAAUCCUAUAAUCCCGGGAAGACCACCAGUGGCGAAGGCUGUCGGCUAGAACGCGCCCGACGGUGAGGGAUGAAAGCUGGGGGAGCGAACCGGAUUAGAUACCCGGGUAGUCCCAGCUGUAAACGAUGCAGGCUAGGUGUUUGGGCGGCCACGUGCCGCUCUAGUGCCGCAGAGAAGUCGUUAAGCCUGCCGCCUGGGGAGUACGGCCGCAAGGCUGGAAACUUAAAGGAAUCGGGCGGGGGAGCACCACAAGGGGUGAAGCUUGCGGUUU
rnacentral:rRNA from 1 species